rnacentral:lncRNA from 1 species
GCGAACCCUUGCCACCAUGGAUUUAUUAAGGGAACUCAUUAAGCUGAAAGUGGUGUUGAAGAGAAUUGUAAUAUGACUCAUAAUUUAUUGAAUAACAUUCGUGUUCUGGGUAAUACUUGGUUAAGGUAGAAAACAUAUUCUAUCAAAUUCACUUCUACGACCUAAUUUUAUGGGAUUCACCCACAGCCAUUUUCAAUGUGAUUGAUUUCUUUUUGGGUUUUAUCAUUGUGAUUUCAGAUGAUUUUGGGUGCCAAUAGUUUCUGGAAUUUUGGUGGCUCAAUGACUCUGGAAUUAUCAAAGUAAUUAAGAUUACAAAAAAAUCACCAUUAGGAUUGGUCAUCAAUUGAAAAUCGUACCAACACACCAAGACAACGGUGUGACGGAGAAAACUUCAAGCAGGACUCCACCGUUGGGAUGAUGAUAGAAGAAGACUGCUGAACUUUUAGGAUGAUGGUUAAAAUGAAGUAAUUCAAAAUAAAUAAAAAAAACAAAAUCACAUAUUAUUUCUUGUCCAACAAGCAAGCUUACUAGAAGCACCACUAUGAUUAAUACUCCAGAGAAAUUCUGGCCAAGCCCACAGUCUAGAUAAAGAUUGCCUUGGGCUUUU